rnacentral:lncRNA from 1 species
GAAGGUUAGGAGAAACAGCACAGUGAGAGGAGUCCUGUGGCCUGGUUCAGAUUCCACUCCCCUCAUUGGGAUUUCAGACAAAUGACUGAACUGUGAGUCUGUGUCUUAUCUAAGACGUAGUGAAAACCCUUCCCUUCAUCUACUCACAAAACAAUGAGGCUCCAAAGAAAGGCUUUAGACACUGCAGAGGGUUCCGUAAGUGGGAGAGGCAGUGGUUAUGAGGUUGCAGCAGCAAAGAGAGGCCGGUGCUUCUGAACUUGUGUGUCUUCCCCCAGUUGGAGUCUCCCCAUAUACACACCCCCUAUAGAGCUCUUUCUCUCCUUACCCUCUCUUGACACAGAGAUCAAAUGCUCUCUCUUUUACUGCUUUAUUGCAAGCUAAACAGUGGCUAUUGAUGCUACACAGCUGAUUGGCUAUGGCCCUCCUGGUGAACACUUCGGCU